CAGAUCUCUUGGCAGGUGGGAAGAUGAAGAGGAUGAGGAAGGACACCAAGAGGACCAGGAGGGGCUGAUAUGUCAGCCCAGGUCACUGGGACCUGGGAGACUGCAGCGCCCAGGACAGGGGGCCCAUCUUUCCCCAAGAGUGGAGCAUCCUGGCACCCUGACACCUGGCGGUCCUGAAGGCAACAGCAACUUGAACAACCCUCACCCAACUCUGGUGACCCGGGGCGUCCCCUGCUCCCUGCAUGACCACAAAGCAACAGAGAACCCUGCAGAACAUGGGAAAGUAAAGCUGAAACCUGCUUAC